CACCACUGAAGCUGUUUUGUUGCUGCUUCGGCUACUGUGUGUUUCAUUAUUAAUAAGGGAAAAGGCUAUUAAAAAGAUGUGUCUCUUUAAUAAAGCUUGUUGCUGUGAUUCUGGGUCUCUGCUGCUGGUUUCUGUGCUGCUCUACCAAUUAUCUCCUGAUGUCCUGCACCUGUGACUGCUCUGAUCAGUGGCGCUGCCGCACCUGUCUCCUCCAGAGGGCAGGCGUCAGAUCUUCAGAAAUCCUUUGUACUCUCUCGCUGGUAUUCAGAUUCUAGACAUUGACCUGUGCCUCUACCUUGCUGAUCACUCUGUGGAUCAAGACCCUGGACCACAACCUGCACAAAGACUGCUUGAUGUCCCCUCUCCCAACCUCUGUAUACCUGUGCAUGAGGCUGGACCGUCACUAGACCUCCUCCCCAGCAGCAAUUUGUGAUGUGGACUAAGCUUCUGUGUGUGAAGGAGUAAGAUAUUCUUUGAACCACUUAUUGGAUACUGUGUGACUUUGGACUCAAGAAAGGAGGCGUAAAGGCUGCAGCUCAACGACUUGGUGCAAUCUGCUGUUUUCUUAGAAAACUUAUCCAAUCUGUCUGGAGGAUUUGAUUAGACAGACUUUGUAAACUCAUGUUACGUGUU